ACGACGCUCUUGCGAUCUAUCUCUCGAGCACAGGUUUAGGUUCGGCCUCAAUGGGAAAAUAAAAUGGAGCACCUAACAACGCAUCUUCACAGACCAAGAACUACGAGAUCAACCCUUUCAUUCUGGAGUGACGGAGGGAUCGUACCAUUCGAGCCGUUUUUUUCAUGCUUUUCCCGGAGGUCUGGAGAAAGCUGCAAUCAAUAGGAUUUCCCUAAUCCUCCCUUCCCGAAAGGAAGAGCGUGAAAUUAUUUUUCCUUUCCGCAGGGACCAGGAGAUUGGAUCUAGCCGUAAGAAGAAUGCUUGGUAUAAAUAACUAACUUCUUUG